AAUUUUCAUUUUUGGGUGAAGUACUGUAUCCCUUUAAGUGUGAAUGUUUGUUUAAUCUUAAUUAUGAUUAUUUACAUGACAAGACUGAAUAUUUAGCUGAAACCAAUGAUUUCUUGAUCAAGUUUACUUUGGUAUAUUACUGUAUAGCUUUUAAUCAUUCAAUGUGUUUUCUGUUGAAUUUGUGGUUUUCCAGAUGUGUCUCUCUACUGUCAUGUUGCCAUUAAUGUGGAACCCACAACCUGUACAAAGAGUCAAAAGCCUACAUAAUUUUAAUGAACGGAUAAUCCUUGAUCUCCAUUUAUGCCUAACCACAAGGAACAUACUACAGUGCUGUGUGCACCCAUGUUAUGCAUUUGUGCCUUCUCCUGCUCUGCACUUUUAAAGCCCACUGUACGUAGGCCAUCAUACACUGGUUUGGCUGUGCUGCAGAAUUUGUCUA